rnacentral:rRNA from 1 species
GAUGAACGCUAGCUACAGGCUUAACACAUGCAAGUCGAGGGGAAACGGCAUCGAAAGCUUGCUUUUGAUGGGCGUCGACCGGCGCACGGGUGAGUAACGCGUAUCCAACCUGCCCAUCACUUGGGAAUAACCUUGCGCAAGUAAGACUAAUGCCCAAUGACAUCCCACGAAGGCAUCCGAAUGGGAUUAAAGAUUUAUCGGUGAUGGAUGGGGAUGCGUCUGAUUAGCUUGUUGGCGGGGUGACGGCCCACCAAGGCAACGAUCAGUAGGGGUUCUGAGGGGAAGGUCCCCCACAUUGGAGCUGAGACACGGUCCAAACUCGUACGGGAGGCAGCAGAGAGGAAUAUUAGUGAAUGGGCGAGAGCCUAGACCAGCCGAGUAGCGUGCAGGAGGACGGCCCUAUGGGUUGUAAACUGCUUUUAUAAGGGAAUAAAGUGGGUAACGUGUGACUUUUUGCAGGUACCUUAUGAAUAAGGACCGGCUAAUUCCGUG